AUACUUACCUGGCAGGGGAGAUAUCAUGAUCACGAAGGUGUUUUCCCUGGGCGAGUCUUAUCCCUUGCACUCUGGACGUGCUGACUCCUGAGAUUUCUCUAAAUGUGGGAAAAUCGACCGAGUAAUUUGUGAUAGCGGGGGACUGUGUUUGUGCUUUCCCCUG